GAUGAAGAACGUAGCAAAAUGCGAUAAGUAAUGUGAAUUGCAGAAUUCAGUGAAUCAUCAAAUCUUUGAACGCACAUUGCGCCCGCCAGUAUUCUGGCGGGCAUGCCUGUUCGAGCGUCAUUUCAACCCUCAAGCCCUCGGGUUUGGUGUUGGGGAUCGGCGAGCCUUUCUGGCAAGCCGGCCCCGAAAUCUAGUGGCGGUCUCGCUGCAGCCUCCAUUGCGUAGUAGUAAAACCCUCGCAACUGGAACGCGGCGCGGCCAAGCCGUUAAACCCCCAACUUCUGAAUGUUGACCUCGGAUCAGGUAGGAAUACCCGCUGAACUUAAGCAUAUCAAUAAGCGGAGGA
rnacentral:misc_RNA from 1 species